rnacentral:rRNA from 1 species
UACGUAGGGUCCAAGCAUUAUCCGGAAUGACUGGGUGUAAAGAGUUGCGUAGGUGGCAUGGUAAGUAGAUGGUGAAAUCUGGUGGCUCAACCAUUCAGACUAUUAUCUAAACUACCAAGCUCGAGACCGUUAGGGGUAGCUGGAAUUUCUAGUGUAGGAGUGAAAUCCGUAGAUAUUAGAAAGAACACCGAUAGCGUAGGCAGGCUACUGGGACGGUUCUGACACUGAGGCACGAAAGCGUGGGGAGCAA